rnacentral:lncRNA from 1 species
CCUGGUUUAUUCCCAUGUGGGACUCCAGCCUGCCCUCAGCAUAGACUCUUUCAGAUGGAGGUGCCAUAUCACGUACACCAUAUGCAAGUUUCCCGCCAGGAAGUCCUCCUCUCUCUACUUGAAUACUCUCACGAGUAGGGAGCUCACUCCCACUGGAACAGCCCAUUUUAUCUUUCAAUGGUCUUCUGCCAGCCCAUUUUGAGGCCAGAGGUGCUGUCAGCUCAGGUGGUCCUCUUUUACAAUCCUAAUCAUAUUGGGUGAUGUUUUUGAAAAGCUAAUGAAGCUAUUGAGAAAGACCUGUUGCUAGAAGUUGGGUUGUUCUGGAUUUUCCCCUGAAGACUUACUUAUUCUUCCGUCACAUAUACAAAAGCAAGACUUCCAGGUAGGGCCAGCUCACAAGCCCAGGCUGGAGAUCCUAACUGAGAAUUUUCUACCUGUGUUCAUUCUUACCAAGAAAAGGAGAAAGGAGCUCUGAAUCUGAUAGGAAAAGAAGGCUGCCUAAGGAGGAGUUUUUAGUAUGUGGCGUAUCAUGCAAGUGCUAUGCCAAGCCAUGUCUAAAUGGCUUUAAUUAUAUAGUAAUGCACUCUCAGUAAUGGGGGACCAGCUUAAGUAUAAUUAAUAGAUGGUUAGUGGGGUAAUUCUGCUUCUAGUAUUUUUUUUACUGUGCAUACAUGUUCAUCGUAUUUCCUUGGAUUUCUGAAUGGCUGCAGUGACCCAGAUAUUGCACUAGGUCAAAACAUUCAGGUAUAGCUGACAUCUCCUCUAUCACAUUACAUCAUCCUCCUUAUAAGCCCAGCUCUGCUUUUUCCAGAUUCUUCCACUGGCUCCACAUCCACCCCACUGGAUCUUCAGACGGCUAGAGGGCGACUCUGGUGGUGCUUUUGUAUGUUUCAAUUAGGCUCUGAAAUCUUGGGCAAAAUGACAAGGGGAGGGCCAGGAUUCCUCUCUCAGGUCACUCCAGUGUUACUUUUAAUUCCCAGAGGGUAAAUAUGACUCCUUUCUCUAUCCCAAGCCAACCAAGAGCACAUUCUUAAAGGAAAAGUCAACAUCUUCUCUCUCUUUUUUUUUUUUUGAGACAGGGUCUCACUAUGUUGCCCAGGCUGCUCUUGAAUUCCUGGGCUCAAGCAGUCCUCCCACCAUACCGCAGCCUCCCGCGUAGCUGGGACUACAGGUGCAAGCCACUACGUCCAGCUAGCCAACUCCUCCUUGCCUGCUUUUCUUUUUUUUUCUUUUUUUGAGACGGCGCACCUAUCACCCAGGCUGGAGUGGAGUGGCAUGAUCUUGGCUCACUGCAACCUCUUCCUCCUGGUUCAAGCGAUUCUCAUGUCUCAGCCUCCUCAGUAGCUAGGACUACCGGUGUGCACCACCAUGCCAGGCUAAUUUUUAUAUUUUUAGAAGAGAUGGGAUUUCAUCAUGUUGGCCAGGCUGGUCUCGAACUCCUGACCUCAAGUGAUCCGCCUGCCUUGGCCUCCCAAGGUGCUAGGAUUACAGGCAUGAGCCACCGCACCGGGCCCUCCUUGCCUGUUUUUCAAUCUCAGCUGAUAUGCAGAGUAUUUCUGCCCCACCCACCUACCCCCCCAAAAAAGCUGAAGCCUAUUUAUUUGAAAGUCCUUGUUUUUGCUACUAAUUAUGUAGUAUACCAUACAUUAUCAUUCAAAACAACCAUCCUGCUCAUAACAUCUUUGAAAAGAAAAAUAUAUAUGUGCAGUAUUUUAUUAAAGCAACAUUUUAUUUAAGAAUGAAGUCUUGUUAAUUACUAUAUUUUAGAUGCAAUGUGAUCUGAAGUUUCUAAUUCUGGCCCAACUAAAUUUCUAGCUCUGUUUCCCUAAACAAAUAAUUUGGUUUCUCUGUGCCUGCAUUUUCCCUUUGGAGAAGAAAAGUGCUCUCUCUUGAGUUGACCGAGAGUCCCAUUAGGGAUAGGGAGACUUAAAAGCAUCCACAGGGGCACAGGCAGAGUUGAGCACAUAAACUUUGGAGGCCCAAAAUCAGCAUAGAACCAGAAAGAUUCAGAGUUGGCCAAGAAUGAACAUUGGCUACGAGACCACAAGUCAGCAUGAGUUGCUCUAUGGCAUCAAAUUGCAACUUGAGAGUAGAUGGGCAGGGUCACUAUCAAAUUAAGCAAUCAGGGCACACAAGUUGCAGUAACACAACAAGACUAGGCCAGCUCUGGAAUCCAGUAACUCAGUGUCAGCAAGGUUUUGGGUUAUAGUUCAAGAAAGUCUAAACAGAGCCAGUCACAGCACCAAGGAAUGCUCAAGGGAGCUAUUGCAGGUUUCUCUGCUAAGACAUUGAUUUCAUCCUGGGUGCAGGGUUCGACCUCCAAAGGCCUCAAAUCAUCACCGCAUCAAUGGAUUUCCUGAGGUAGGUCCCUUCCACUUGGUUUGUUGUGGUGAGCCCUGAGCAAUGCCUGGAGAUUGAUCUUCCAGCAGACAGUGGAAUGAUUCCAGGAAGGUUUUAGCACCCGGCCUGUCUUUGCAGCUCUGCAGUCCUCAAAGUCUCCAAACUCUGAUGCGAGCGUUCACAUUUUCCUGUGCACAGGGACAAAACUACGAAGACUUUUUGCUGCAAAACGAAAACCCAUUGGCUGAUCUACCUUGUAACUGCUAUCUACUUUAUAUACUCAAAUAGCUGUGUUUAGGAUCAAAAUGAUCAGGUCUGGAAUAUACUGCAGUAGAUACUGCAAUUCACAAGCAAUUUUACAGAAGAAGCACCCAACCCCGACUCUAAACUAUGUUUGCUUUUCCUCAAGAGUCACUUCUAAACUUUUUUUCACAACACACACUUUUCAUAGUUGUAACCUUUCCAUUUGGUGUUUUGUUUUGGGGUUUUUUGUCACUUAAAAUAAUCUAAUCUACACGUUCCCCAGAGCCAGCAGAGGCUACAUUCCUG